UGAUACCCUGGUAGUCCACGCUGUAAACGAUGUCGACUUGGAGGUUGUUCCCUUGAGGAGUGGCUUCCGGAGCUAACGCGUUAAGUCGACCGCCUGGGGAGUACGGCCGCAAGGUUAAAACUCAAAUGAAUUGACGGGGGCCCGCACAAGCGGUGGAGCAUGUGGUUUAAUUCGAUGCAACGCGAAGAACCUUACCUACUCUUGACAUCCAGAGAACUUAGCAGAGAUGCUUUGGUGCCUUCGGGAACUCUGAGACAGGUGCUGCAUGGCUGUCGUCAGCUCGUGUUGUGAAAUGUUGGGUUAAGUCCCGCAACGAGCGCAACCCUUAUCCUUUGUUGCCAGCGGUUCGGCCGGGAACUCAAAGGAGACUGCCAGUGAUAAACUGGAGGAAGGUGGGGAUGACGUCAAGUCAUCAUGGCCCUUACGAGUAGGGCUACACACGUGCUACAAUGGCAUAUACAAAGAGAAGCGACCUCGCGAGAGCAAGCGGACCUCAUAAAGUAUGUCGUAGUCCGGAUUGGAGUCUGCAACUCGACUCCAUGAAGUCGGAAUCGCUAGUAAUCGUGGAUCAGAAUGCCACGGUGAAUACGUUCCCGGGCCUUGUACACACCGCCCGUCACACCAUGGGAGUGGGUUGCAAAAGAAGUAGGUAGC
rnacentral:rRNA from 1 species